rnacentral:rRNA from 1 species
UUUGCUUUAAAUAAAAGGUCCAGCCUGCCCAGUGACACUGUUCAACGGCCGCGGUAUCCUAACCGUGCGAAGGUAGCGUAAUCACUUGUUCUUUAAAUGAGGACUAGUAUGAAAGGCACCACGAGAGUCAUACUGUCUCCUCUUUCCAAUCAGUUAAACUAAUCUCCCCGUGAAGAAGCGGGAAUAACUAUAUAAGACGAGAAGACCCUAUGGAGCUUUAAACGAAUAACACUUGCCCACACUCCUUUUAAUUUCAGAAAAAUCUUCUACCUUGGCAUCAUACUUAUAAGUUUUUGAUUGGGGUGAUCACGGAGCAAAAAAUAACCUCCGCAAUGAAAGACUCUCCAUGACUUAAUCAAGAACCACAACUCUACAUAUCAACAAAUUGACACUAAUUGACCCAAUUUAUUGAUCAAUGAAC